rnacentral:lncRNA from 1 species
CUUGUAGAUGCAGUGGACUUGAAGUGAAGGCGUUUACAGAGGGCGGCGGAUUUAUGCGUGUGAGUGACAGUCUGUGCGCGUGCUUGUGAGUGUGAGAGUGUGUGUCUGCGGGAUAUUACCCGAGUUUGCGUUUGGUAGUGCUCUCACAGCCCUUUAGAAACAAGCUCUUCCACCCGGGACAGCGUCGGAUCAAGUGGCAUUGAGAGGUGUGGAUGGUGGAGGAAGAAAACUGAACUCUUAAGUGUUCAUCUUGAAUUGGGAGUGAGAACCCCAUUAAACCAAGCAAUCCCAGAUUGCUACAGAAGAGAGCACUUAGCUUCCAGAAAGAAUUCUCCUGUGACGAAAAGGACGACCCAGCCAAAAGCACCAAGGAUAUAGAUGUUAGUCUCUUGGCCAAUCUCCCUAAAGUCUCUGAAUUGAGGAAACUAUUUGAGGGGAUUACCA